rnacentral:tRNA from 1 species
GGAUAGCUCAAUAGGUUAGAGCGUGGUGCUGAUAACGCCAAGGUUGCAGGUUUGAUCCCCGUAUGGGACA